ensembl:misc_RNA Metazoa_SRP Metazoan signal recognition particle RNA
GCCGGGCGUGGUGGCACACGCCUGUAAUCCCAGCUACUCGGGAGGCUGAGGCAGGAGAAUCGCUUGAACCUGGGAGGCAGAGGUUGCAGUGAGCCAAGAUUGUGCCACUGCACUUCAGCCUGGGUGACAAAGAGAGAUUCUGCCUCAA